GACGAACGCUGGCGGCGUGCCUAAUACAUGCAAGUUGAGCGCUGAAGGUUGGUACUUGUACCAACUGGAUGAGCAGCGAACGGGUGAGUAACGCGUGGGGAAUCUGCCUUUGAGCGGGGGACAACAUUUGGAAGCGAAUGCUAAUACCGCAUAAAAACUUUAAACACAAGUUUUAAGUUUGAAAGAUGCAAUUGCAUCACUCAAAGAUGAUCCCGCGUUGUAUUAGCUAGUUGGUGAGGUAAAGGCUCACCAAGGCGAUGAUACAUAGCCGACCUGAGAGGGUGAUCGGCCACAUUGGGACUGAGACACGGCCCAAACUCCUACGGGAGGCAGCAGUAGGGAAUCUUCGGCAAUGGACGAAAGUCUGACCGAGCAACGCCGCGUGAGUGAAGAAGGUUGUCGGAUCGUAAAACUCUGUUGGUAGAGAAGAACGUUGGUGAGAGUGGAAAGCUCAUCAAGUGACGGUAACUACCCAGAAAGGGACGGCUAACUACGUG
rnacentral:rRNA from 1 species